GCCAUAACUCAGUGGUAAAGCAUCUAUUUUUCGUGCAACAGAUCGCAGGUUCGAUCCCUGGUAUAUCCA